CCGCCCGUCACACCAUGAGAGCUGUCUGUACCCGAAGCCAUUUUAGCUAACUCGAAAGAGAAGCGGGAUGACUAAGGUAUGGGGAGGUGAUUGGGGUG
rnacentral:rRNA from 1 species